rnacentral:tRNA from 1 species
UAAGAUUUUAAGUUAAUUUAAACUAUUAAUCUUCAAAAUUAAAAAUAAAAAAAAAUUAAAUCUUA